rnacentral:rRNA from 1 species
GGAAGUAAAAGUCGUAACAAGGUUUCCGUAGGUGAACCUGCGGAAGGAUCAUUCAUAAUAAGUGUUUUAUGGCACUUUUUAAAUCCAUAUCCACCUUGUGUGCAAUGUCAGUCGAUCUUCUUCAUGGAGAUCGACCAAACAUCAACCUUUAUUUUUUAACUCUUUGUCUGAAAAAUAUUAUGAAUAAACAAUUCAAAAUACAACUUUCAACAACGGAUCUCUUGGCUCUCGCAUCGAUGAAGAACGCAGCGAAAUGCGAUACGUAAUGUGAAUUGCAGAAUUCAGUGAAUCAUCGAAUCUUUGAACGCAUAUUGCGCUCUUUGGUAUUCCGAAGAGCAUGCUUGUUUGAGUAUCAGUAAACACCUCAAAGCUUUUGGAUUUUUUUAAUCGAAAAGCUUUGGACUUGAGCAAUCCCAACACCAAUCUUUUUGAGAUCGGUGGCGGGUUGCUUGAAAUGCAGGUGCAGCUGGACAUUCUCCUGAGCUAAAAGCAUAUUCAUUUAGUCCCGUCAAACGGAUUAUUACUUUUGCUGCAGCUAACAUAAAGGGAGUUUGACCGUAUUGGCUGACUGAUGCAGGAUUUCACAAGGGUCGGCAACGAUUCUUGUUAAACUCGAUCUCAAAUCAAGUAAGACUACCCGCUGAACUUAAGCAUAUCAAUAAGCGGAGGA